rnacentral:rRNA from 1 species
UACGAAGGGGGCGAGCGUUGUUCGGAAUUACUGGGCGUAAAGGGCGCGCAGGCGGACCUGCAAGUCGGGGGUGAAAGCCCGAGGCUCAACCUCGGAACUGCCUUCGAUACUGCGGGUCUCGAGUCCGGGAGAGGUGAGUGGAAUUCCUAGUGUAGAGGUGAAAUUCGUAGAUAUUAGGAAGAACACCAGUGGCGAAGGCGGCUCACUGGCCCGGUACUGACGCUGAGGCGCGAAAGCGUGGGGAGCAAACAGG